rnacentral:pre_miRNA from 1 species
UAGCUACUCUUUCCGUUCCGAAUUACUUGUCACACGUAUGGAUGUAUCUAGAUGUAUUUUAGUUCUAGAUACAUUUAUUUCUGCGACGAGUAAUUUAGAACGGAGGAAGUAGCUA